rnacentral:rRNA from 1 species
CGAACGGGUGAGUAACACGUGAGCAACCUGCCCCGAAGACCGGGAUAACAGUGGGAAACCGCUGCUAAUACCGGAUACCCCCACCGAAUCACAUGGUUUGGUGAGGAAAUGGAUUCCGCUUCGGGAGGGGCUCGCGGCCUAUCAGCUUGUUGGUGGGGUAACGGCCUACCAAGGCUUCGACGGGUAGCUGGUCUGAGAGGACGAUCAGCCACACUGGGACUGAGACACGGCCCAG